rnacentral:rRNA from 1 species
UACGUAGGCGGGAAAUUUAGUCAGUAGUGAAAUCCCACAGCUUAACUGUGGAACUGUUAUUGAUACUGGUUUUCUUGAAUAUAGUUGAGGUAGGCGGAAUGUGUAAUGUAGCGGUGAAAUGCUUAGAUAUUACACAGAACACCGAUUGCGAAGGCAGCUUACUAAGCUAUGAUUGACGCUGAGGUACGAAAGCGUGGGGAGCGAACAGGAUUAGAUACCCUGGUAGUC